AAUAGAUACCCAGGUAGUCCACGCCCUAAACGAUGCAUAUUUGGUGUGGGCAGUUCAGUCUGUCCGUGCCGGAGCUAACGCGUUAAAUAUGCCGCCUGGAGAGUACAGUCGCAAGGCUGAAACUCAAAGGAAUUGACGGGGGCCCGCACAAGCGGUGGAGCAUGUGGUUCAAUUCGACGCAACGCGAAGAACCUUACCUGGGCUCGAACGGCUGGUCAACGGCGGUGGAAACAUCGCUACCCCGCAAGGGGGUCCAGUCGAGGUGCUGCAUGGCUGUCGUCAGCUCGUGUCGUGAGAUGUUGGGUUAAGUCCCGCAACGAGCGCAACCCUUGUCCUGUGUUGCCAUCAUUCAGUUGGGAACUCGCAGGAGACCGCCAGGGAUAACCUGGAGGAAGGUGGGGAUGACGUCAAGUCCUCAUGGCCUUUAUGUCCAGGGCUACACACGUGCUACAAUGGACGGUACAAACCGCAGCGAACCCGCGAGGGGGAGCCGAAUCGGAAAAAACCGUUCUCAGUUCGGAUUGCAGG
rnacentral:rRNA from 1 species